CCGCCCAGCGCGCCGCCAAUACCGGCUUCGGUAUUGCCGCCCGCGAAGGCGCUGCCGCUGGCGAGGCCAAGGGACAGGAGAAGGAUCGAGGUGUACUUCAUGGUGAGGGUCGCCUCAGUGGUUUUGGUGAGGCGAUAUUUACUGUGGGAAAUUACUUACGCAAGUGUCGGACGACGAAAAGCAGCAACUUUCGCUAUUUUUUUAAUUGUUUGAUUUGGCAGCAGAACUUUUUCUGAUUUGGCGUGUCUGAGUCCUAAUCCCGCCCGCUGUUUCCCUGCCUUUCAAGCCUUUUGCCAUACUGGCAAACUGCCAA
rnacentral:sRNA from 1 species